rnacentral:tRNA from 1 species
UAUCUGAAAGCGAAAAUCGCACUAAGUUUCGGCCUUAGCUUUGAGUAUUAAUCUCUCAGAUGA